GUGCCAGCAGCCGCGGUAAUACGGGGGGUGCAAGCGUUGUUCGGAUUUAUUGGGCGUAAAGCGCGUGUAGGCGGUUUUUUAAGUCUGAUGUGAAAGCCCCGGGCUCAACCUGGGAAGUGCAUUGGAUACUGGAAGACUUGAAUACGGGAGAGGGUAGUGGAAUUCCUAGUGUAGGAGUGAAAUCCGUAGAUAUUAGGAGGAACACCGGUGGCGAAGGCGGCUACCUGGACCGAUAUUGACGCUGAGACGCGAAAGCGUGGGGAGCAAACAGGAUUAGAAACCCCAGUAGUCC
rnacentral:rRNA from 1 species